AAAGCGACCGCGGCGGCGACAGAGCCUGGCGACGGCGCCCUCCUCCCCCCCUCCCGCGCGCGCGCAGCGGCUUCCCGCGCCGCUCCGGUCGACCACCGGCUCCACCCCGUCCUCCUCUCCUCGUUGCGGUGGCCCCCUUCCUCGGCAGCGGUGAUGACCUCCUCCUCCAUCCCCCUCUUGCGGUGGUCGAGCAGCGGCGGCGACGACGCCCUCUCCAAGCGGCUGUGGCGGUGCCCUCCCCCACCGUGAGCAGCGGCGGUGGAGGUGCCCUCCUGCGGCUUCCCACGGGCGGAUCCGGCGGCGACGUCGGCUUCCCGCGUCGGUCCAGUCGACCACCGGCUCCACCCCGUCCUCCUCUCCUCAUUGAGGCAGCCCCCUUCCCCGGCAGCGGCUACGACCUCCUCCUAGUUGGGCGCAGGAGUAGGCGGCGGUUGGAGCAGGUGUUGCGGUGGCGGACACGACAGCGACGAGCUGGUGGCGGUGGCGGGCACGCUAGGGCUCCUCUCUUUGUGAUGAAUUUUUAAGAGAUUUGUUUUUCAUUUUUUUCUCUUUUUAGUUGAUUUUCCCCUUGUGAUUGAAUCUGUGAUGAAUUGGCUUCCCAACGAGGUGAAUCUGUGAUGAAUCGGCUGC
rnacentral:sRNA from 1 species